UGAUCGGAACUUUCAGCAUUCCUCUGUGGUCUCAUUUAUGACAUUAGCUAGCGUUGCGGCGUACAUUAUCUAGGUAAUCCAGUACACACCAGUGGGCAAUUAGCAUUAAUGUGCGAUUGGCUUGUAGUAUGUCUAUCAUUGCUGUCCUCCCAUUUGAUUGGUUCCCUAGCAAUAUAUAAUGUACACCUAGAGUCCGUUUUAGCCACGCCCCCUGACGAAGCGCAGUAGCGCGAAACGUGCGUUGGGAUCAAAGAAAUUUUGCCUGUUGACCAUAAAUUAAACCUGAGCGUGAUCUGUACUGGAAUAGAAAGCAAUACAAGUGUUACCUUCCUCUGAGACGUCUCUGUAUUUCACAACAUUUUUUUAGGUGUUCCUUACCAUCACUACAUAAUAACAAUGAAUACACCUGUUCUGGGAAAUCUAGGAGGUCUGUUAGAUAUUUUUAAUGGCUAUGCUGUGGAUGGGAUUGCAAAAGCGGAAAAAGUUGAUCAAUUUAUGAAAGAUAAUUUUGAGAAAUUGAUUGAGCAUCCAACCCAUCCAGAGGUAGUUAAAGAAUUGGUGGCCAAAGUCGACGAAGUCAAAGUAAAUGGAGUUGACAGUCUAAUAUAUGCUGGAUUAGUAUGCAAUCUCCUACAUGCUUAUAGUAAAGAUCAAGUUGGGGUUGCCGAAAAUCCAGAAACAAGUUCAUAACAAAUAUAUAAUAUGUUUGUAGAAGUUUUGUCAUGUUGAGAUUCCAAUAAAGUAACGUCAUCA